AUUGAACGCUGGCGGCAUGCCUUACACAUGCAAGUCGAACGGCAGCACGGUUGCUUGCACCUGGUGGCGAGUGGCGGACGGGGGAGUGAUACAUCGGAACAUGUCCUUUCGUUUGGGUUAGCCCUGCGAAAGCGGGAUUAAUACCGCAUACGAUCUACGCAUGAAGGCGGGAGACCGUGGUGCUUCGCGCUUUCGCGUUGGCCUAUGGCUGAUUAGGUAGUUGGUGGGGUAAAGGCCUACGAAGGGGACGACCACGAUCCGGUCUUGGGGGACGACCAGCCAACCUGGAACUGAGAAAGGGCCCAGCUUCCUAGGGGAGGCAGAGGUGGGAAUUUUUGGAAAAUGGGCGAAAGCCUGACCAAGCAAUGCCGGGUGUGUGAAGAGGGCCUUCGGGUUGUAAAGCACUUUUGUGGGGAAAGAAAGCAUUGGCUUUAAUCCGGUCGGGGCAUGAGGUUACCGGAAGAAUAAGCACGGGUAAAUUAGGU
rnacentral:rRNA from 1 species